rnacentral:tRNA from 1 species
GCCCAGGUGGCUCAGCGGUUGAGCGUCUGGCUUCAGCCCAGGGCAUAAUCCUAGAGUCCUGGGAUCGAGUCCCACUUCGGGCU